rnacentral:rRNA from 1 species
UACGUAGGGGGCAAGCGUUGUCCGGAUUUAUUGGGCGUAAAGAGCGUGUAGGCGGCCAGAUAGGUCCGUUGUGAAAACUGGAGGCUUAACCUCCAGCUGUCGAUGGAAACCAUCUGGCUAGAGUCCGGAAGAGGAGAGUGGAAUUCCUGGUGUAGCGGUGAAAUGCGCAGAUAUCGUAAGGAAGAUCAGUGGCGAAGGCGGGUCUCUGGACAGUUCCUGACGCUGAGGCACGAAGGCCAGGGGAGCAAACGGG